rnacentral:rRNA from 2 species
GGUUAAGCGACUAAGCGUACACGGUGGAUGCCUAGGCAAUCAGAGGCGAUGAAGGACGUGCUAAUCUGCGAUAAGCGUCGGUAAGGUGAUAUGAACCGUUACAACCGACGAUUUCCGAAUGGGGAAACCCAGUGCAAUUCGUUGCACUAUCGUUUGAUGAAUACAUAGUCAAACGAAGCGAACCGGGGGAACUGAAACAUCUCAGUACCCCGAGGAAAAGAAAUCAACCGAGAUUCCCCUAGUAGCGGCGAGCGAACGGGGAGCAGCCCAGAGUCUUAAUCAGCAUUAGCAUCAGGAGAACGGUCUGGAAAGUCCGGCAGUAAAGGGUGAUAGCCCCGUAUCCGAAGGUGUUAGUGUUGUGAACUCGACGAGUAGGGCGGGACACGUGUUAUCCUGUCUGAAUAUGGGGGGACCAUCCUCCAAGGCUAAAUACUCCUGAUUGACCGAUAGUGAACCAGUACCGUGAGGGAAAGGCGAAAAGAACCCCGGCGAGGGGAGUGAAAUAGAACCUGAAACCGUGUACGUACAAGCAGUGGGAGC